rnacentral:lncRNA from 1 species
UCACACCCGAUCCCCAAACUGUAGAGACUGAUAUGACCCGGAAAACUGAUAGAACUUCCCCUGAUAAUUAUACUUAUAAAAACAUGUAACCUGCUAUAAUUCCAAAUGAUAAAACAUAUAAGAGAAAAACUGAUAGUUGGACCUGUCAAUUCAUAAAAUAUUUACAACAAUAAAAUACCGUUUCCACUGGACUGUCCAAUCUAUACAUGAUCUAUCAAGAUUACAAAAAGAAAAGACAAAAGACUUAGGAUUGGUCCGACCUCCUCUAGACUCUGAGUAGACGAUGUAGAAAGAAGGAUAAACUAGAAGAUGAGGACUGCUGAGCAGAUCACCAAAAAGGAAUUGAAAUAGUAAAAGAAAUAUAAGGGUGAGUACAAACUACUCAGUGAGCGGAUAAAUAAAUAACACAGGGGAAAAGAUAAGUGUAGGUACUUCAUAGUACCUAAUAUGUAGCUAAAAUAAAUCAGCUGAAUAAAUACAAUUUAAUUCCAUCAAUAUAAAAUAAACAGUGAAAAAUAGAAUCCGCAUACACUCAUAAUAUGUUCCCUGCAGAUAAUGCUGGCAUCUCAGGUAUAAUAAAAUAAUAACAGCCUGAGAGCAAUGCUGGCAUCUUAGGCUCUAUAAUGAAAAAUUUGGCCCAAGAGCAAAUAAAAUACUGGUCAUACACAUGUACAGAGCUACCCCCAAAGGGUGACCACCUGUAGAGACUGAUAUGACCCGGAAAACUGAUAGAACUUCCCCUGAUAAUUAUACUUAUAAAAACAUGUAACCUGCUAUAAUUCCAAAUGAUAAAACAUAUAAGAGAAAAACUGAUAGUUGGACCUGUCAAUUCAUAAAAUAUUUACAACAAUAAAAUACCGUUUCCACUGGACUGUCCAAUCUAUACAUGAUCUAUCAAGAUUACAAAAAGAAAAGACAAAAGACUUAGGAUUGGUCCGACCUCCUCUAGACUCUGAGUAGACGAUGUAGAAAGAAGGAUAAACUAGAAGAUGAGGACUGCUGAGCAGAUCACCAAAAAGGAAUUGAAAUAGUAAAAGAAAUAUAAGGGUGAGUACAAACUACUCAGUGAGCGGAUAAAUAAAUAACACAGGGGAAAAGAUAAGUGUAGGUACUUCAUAGUACCUAAUAUGUAGCUAAAAUAAAUCAGCUGAAUAAAUACAAUUUAAUUCCAUCAAUAUAAAAUAAACAGUGAAAAAUAGAAUCCGCAUACACUCAUAAUAUGUUCCCUGCAGAUAAUGCUGGCAUCUCAGGUAUAAUAAAAUAAUAACAGCCUGAGAGCAAUGCUGGCAUCUUAGGCUCUAUAAUGAAAAAUUUGGCCCAAGAGCAAAUAAAAUACUGGUCAUACACAUGUACAGAGCUACCCCCAAAGGGUGACCACCUGACAUACGCCCCAAAGGCUAUCUGUAUAUCAAGCGCUGUCCCAAAGACAGUAUAAUUAUAUAUAUCAUGUUGAAAAUAAAUCACCCGUCAUCAAGGUAUUAUCUGUUUGGUGCAUAUACAGAGUGUAAUCGGCUAUUUAUUCAGCUGUGCUUCGUAUUCAAGAUAUAUAAAUUAUCAUUAUCCUUUCCCAAUGUAAAUAAAUAACAUAACAUAUUCACAUAUAAAUAUAUUUUUAAAAAAAUAUCAAUGUUAGAUAUUUAUCCACUCACCAGAAUACUUGGGACAAAAGACCUAGGUCGCAGGAGGACCCCUAUUAUCUAUUCUGGAAGCUGGAUCCUCUCCUAGAAUUAAAAAGAAAAUAAAAGAAUAUAUCAAAUAAUAAAAAUGCUCUAGAACAAGAAUAUAAAACGUAACAUACGAAAUUUGAAACUAUGUUUAUAUAUAUUGUUAAGAAAAUUUAGGCAGUAUUUCGGCAUAGUUCGUCCUCCCAAAAAUACCCAAACUCAACAAAAAUACUCAAUAAGCUGUAAAUAUUAUUUAAAUCAACCUAUGAAACUCAUACCUCACUUACCCAAUUUUGGAGCCUCAAGAAGAAAUUAUUGAAUUUCUGAACAGGAUGUAGGUUUAAUCAGGAUCUUGCUGAAGGAUCUUAGAAGGUUGUGGGUUAAUUGGGUUAAGAAGGAGGAGAUUUGGGUUAAAAGAGGAUUUUUUUUUUUUUUUUUUACACUACCAGAGCAAAAGCUCUGUUCUCUCUCUUUUUUUUUCUCGCGAGGAAGAAGGGUUCUCUGGUUUCGGGAAUGUUUCGGGACAUUCCCGAAACCAGAGCUUUAAUGCUCCUUUUCUCUUCUUUUUUUUUAUUAAAAUUAAUAGGCCUGGGCCUGGGCCUUAGAAUUCUCUCCUCCUAAUAGAAAUUUUGUCCUCGAAAUUUACAUACCUGGUGGAGGGAACAAAUGUGGAAAUUGAAUUCGCAUAUUCUCUUCUUUUUCCCAGUUAGCUUCUUUAGCAGAAUGAUUACUCCAUCGAACUUUAACCAGGGGUAUUAUCUUGCUCCUUAAAACCUUCUUUUCUCUGGCAAUGAUCUCUACUGGCUCUUCUUCAUAUGUUAAGUCUUCCCUCAACUCGAUAGGCUGUUUCUGGAGGAUGUGGGAAGGGUCACUUCUAUAUCUCCUUAACAUGGAUACAUGGAAGACAUCAUGAAUCUGAGAUAGCUCUGGAGGUAGUGCUAAACGAUAAGCAACUGGUCCAAUUCUCUCUAAAAUCUCAUAUGGUCCUAUGAAUCGCGGACUCAAUUUUCCACGUUUACCAAAAUGUACAACCCCUUUCCAAGGAGAAAUCUUUAGAAAUACCUUGUCGCCAACAUUAUAUUCAAUAUCCCUUCUCUUUAGAUCUUCAUAACUCUUCUGUCUGUCUUGUGCUGCUUUUAAUCGAUUUCUGAUCAUCUGAAUGUUAUCUGCCGUGUGUUGCACUAAUUCUGGACCUUCUAAUUGUUUUUCCCCUACCUCAUUCCAACACAAUGGUGUUCUGCAUCUCCUCCCAUACAAAGCUUCGUAAGGAGCCAUGCCGAUACUCGAAUGAUAACUAUUAUUAUAAGAAAACUCCAUUAAUUGCACAUACCUAUCCCAACUUCCUUUAAACUCCAUCACACAAGCUCUCAGCAUAUCUUCCAAGGUCUGGAUAGUUCUUUCUGAUUGACCAUCAGUCUGAGGGUGAAAGGAAGUGCUAAACUUCAACUUAGUGCCUAACGCAUUUUGCAAACUAGGCCAAAAAUGAGAAGUGAAUCUUGGAUCUCUAUCUGAAACAAUAGAAACUGGAGCACCAUGAAGUCUUACAAUCUCACUGACAUAGAUCUCUGCUAACUUGUCUAAAGAGUAAUCCAUCCUGACAGGCAAAAAGUGUGCUGACUUGGUUAACCUAUCCACUAUCACCCAUAUUGCAUUAUGUCCACGCGAAGUACGAGGUAACCCUGAAACAAAAUCCAUAGUAAUGUGUUCCCACUUCCAUUCCGGAAUAGAGAGCGGUUGCAGCUUUCCUAUUGGAUGUUGAUGUUCUGCUUUAAUCUGUUGGCAAACUAAGCAUGUGGACACAAAGUCAGCUAUUUCUUUCUUCAUACCUGGCCACCAAUAGUUUUCUCUAAGAUCUCUGUACAUUUUUGUACUUCCUGGAUGCAUAUAGUAAGCAGAACAAUGGGCUUCCUCCAUAAUCUCUCUCUUAGAAAAGUCAGUACGGGUGCCAUCUCUUACUUCAUUCCUGAUCUUACUCAACUGCUCAUCUUGAUUUUGGGCUUCUCUGACUUUUUCUAUCACAAUUGGUCGAACUUUAAGAGUUGCUAACAAUGCUCCUGCAUCAUCCACUGCUAGCUCUACCCUUAAGGAUCUGAUCUCUAGUAACAAAGGAAGCCGAACUGUUUUGAGAUAAGCCAACUUACUAAAGGACUUGCGACUAAGGGCAUCAGCUACCACAUUAGCUUUACCUAGAUGAUAUUCAAUGGUACAGUCGUAGUCCUUAAGUAACUCAAUCCACCGUCUGUGCCUUAAAUUCAACUCCUUCUGUGUGAGAAGAUACUUCAAACUCUUAUGAUCUGUAAAAAUCUGGCAAGUCACGCCAUAAAGAUAAUGCCGCCAUGUCUUUAAUGCAAACACAACUGCAGCUAAUUCCAGAUCAUGGGUGGGAUAAUUUAAUUCAUGUGGUCUAAGCUGUCUAGAAGCAUAAGCUAUCACCUUCCCAUGUUGCAUGAGUACACAGCCUAAACCCUUGUGAGAAGCAUCACUAUACACCACAAAUCCAUCUGUACCUGAGGGUAAGGUAAGAACUGGGGCUGAUGUGAGACACGUUUUAAGCUUCUCAAAACUCUCUUGACAUUCAUCUGUCCAUUCAAACUUUGCAUUUUUUCGAAGGAGUUUAGUCAAUGGUGCUGCAAUGAUGGAGAAAUCCUGAACAAAGCGACGAUAAUACCCUGCUAAGCCCAGAAAACUUCUAACCUCUGUAACAUUCGUUGGAGGAUCCCAAUUGACUACUGCUUCAAUCUUCUUAGGAUCAACCAAAAAUCCAUCUGCUAAGAUAACAUGCCCCAAGAAAACCACCCGAUCAAGCCAGAACUCACAUUUGCUCAAUUUAGCAUAUAGUUGUUUAUCUCUCAAAAUCUGCAGUACUAUUCGUAAAUGCUUCUCAUGCUCUUCCUUGCUACGGGAAUAUACUAAGAUGUCAUCAAUAAACACAAUAACAAAGUUAUCCAAGUAGGGCUUGAACACCCUAUUCAUGAGAUCCAUAAAAGCAGUGGGUGCAUUAGUUAACCCGAAAGGCAUAACAAGGAACUCAUAAUGCCCGUAACAAGUUCUGAAGGCUGUCUUAGGUAUUUCAGACUCCUUGAUCUUCAAUUGAUGAUACCCAGACCGCAAAUCAAUCUUAGAGAAUACUUUAGCACCUUGGAGCUGAUAAAAAAGAUCAUCAAUGCGGGGUAAAGGAUACUUAUUUCGCACUGUGACUCGAUUCAAUUGUCUGUAGUCAAUACAUAACCUUAAGGAACCAUCCUUCUUCUUCACAAAUAGCACAGGGGCUCCCCAAGGUGAAACACUGGGUCUUAUGAAACCUUUAUCAAGUAGCUCCUGCAAUUAUGCUUUUAACUCCUUCAAUUCUGUUGGGGCCAUUCGGUAUGGUGCCAUAGAAAUAGGAGUUGUACCUGGAUUCAAAUCAAUAGAGAAUUCAAUCUCUCUAUCUAGAGGCAACCCAGGAAGCUCUUCAGGAAAUACAUCAGGAAACUCGCUUACUACUGGUAUAUCUUCCAAGUUAGGUUCUUCCCGACUACUGUCCAUCACAUAGGCGAAGUAUGCUUGACAACCCUUCCGAAGCAUCUUCCUAGUAGUCAUGGCGGAAAUCACAUAAGAAGGAAGUAAACGCCUCUCCCCAAAGAAAGUGAACUUAGACCCUUCUGGACUAUUAAAUACCACUGAUUUCUCAAAGCAAUCUAUUGUGGCAUGAUGACGAGAUAACCAGUCCAUACCUAAGAUGACAUCCAGAUCUUGUAGACACAAAGGAACUAGAUCCACUAACAGCUCAUGAUUGCCCAACUUAACAACACAAUCCCUAUACACAUAUUCACAUACAACAGAAUCCCCAACUGGAGUACUCACAGCUAAUCCACAGUCUAAAAGUUUUAAUUCUCUAUCAGUAUGCUUAGAGAAGGAUUGAGAUACGAAAGAGCGAGUGGAACCAGGAUCUAUAAGAAUGUGUGCAUCUUUAUCGAAAAUAGUUAACAUACCAGUCACCACCUCUGGAGAUGCUCGUGCCUCCUGCUGUGUCAUAGCAAAAACUCUGGCCUGAGUACGAGGUCUGCCGAGUUGCAUCGUUGGUCUAGACUGAGAAGAUGAAGUAGCUCCACUGGCUCUGCUUGUGCCAGGCCCCACUUGUGCCGUAGGUACACCUUGUGAUGGUGUCACACCAUACCUUAGAUUCUGAGGCGCCACUGAUCCUUGCUGAGAACCACUGUCUCUGGCUAUCAGCAAUGGACAAUCUCUCUUAAAAUGUCCCGAAGAACCACAUUCAAAACAACCCCUAUCGAAUUUUCUGCACUCCCCAGCAUGAUGUUUACCACAGGUGACACAUUGAGGAAAAAGUCUCUUCCUUUGUUCAAACCCAGAAUCAUAUCCUUGUCCUUGUCCAUGUGUCUGUGCCCUAAAGGAACUACCCACUGGCUGUGCUACUGAACUCUGACUAGACUGUGGUCGAGCAACCUGCUGCUCUGUGUUAACAAAGGAACCUCUACCGCUACCACUGUAUCCAGCUUGGGACUGAAAUGAACUACUCCCUCUCUUCCCUGGUCUUUCUCUGAACCCUUGUGAGCCCUGCAAAUGCUUUCUACUCAUCUUCUGUUCAUACUCUUUCUCUUCUUGCUUAACUUUUUCAACAUUCAAAGAUGCUUCCACCAACUCUUUGAAAUUAUUACCUCUGAACCAGGUCAUAGAUGAUCUGAUAUUAACAUGUAGACCCUGUCUGAAUCUGUCACAUUUUGCUUCCUCAUAAGGCAAUAUAUCUGAAACAAAGCAAUAAAGAUCUUCAAACUUGUCAACAUACUCUCUUAUUGAGAGGCUUCCCUGAAACAACCUGAAAAAGGCAUCCUUUUUUCCUUUCCUGUAACUAUCUGACAAAUAUUCCUGGCGAAAUUCAUGAAUAAAUUGAUCCCAAGUCAGUCUGACUCCAUGUCUGCGACGGAUGCCAUCGAACCAAGCAUCAGCCUUACCCUGAAGCAAACCAUGUACAUUAUCUACCUUCUCUGGAUCAGUCAACUUCAUUAAUUCAAACACUUUUAGCACUUUCUUUAACCAUUUAUCUGCAAUGUCAGCAUCAGAGGAACCCUCAAAAUCAUAAGCUCCCAAACGUCUAGCACGAUCCACUAUCUCCCACGGAUCUCUAGGUUUGGCUGUAACAGCUGCUGUAACUACUUGUGCCACAAAAGCACCCAAGUCUGCAUUUAUCUGGAAAGGAUGGGCUGGUGCUACAGGUGGAACAAAAGGUGGAAUUGUAGGUGCAACAGGAGGUGCAACUGCAGGUGCCGAGGAAAGCGAUGGUGUAGUCGGAUAUGCCCCUGAUUCAACACCAUGAGAAACAGAUUCUCCAUGUCCUUCUCGGCUCUCAGAUAACUCAUGAUCUGCCACCCCUUCAAGAGGCGGAGGUGCAACUGUAGGAUCCCUAGAAGGUCGACCAAUAUCAGCUAAUCUAGCUGUACGAACACCACGGCCCUGACUUCUAUUACCUACUCUGGGCGGCAUUGUCCUACAAACAAAAAUAGGAAAAGCAGUAUCAAAAUAUAAUUCAAAAUACUGACUCGAGGCAAGUCUACAGAAUCUAUAAACCUAUGCUCUGAUACCAAAAAUUGUCACACCCAAUCCCCAAACUGUAGAGACUGAUAUGACCCGGAAAACUGACAGAACUUCCCCUGAUAAUUAUACUUAUAAAAACAUGUAACCUGCUAUAAUUCCAAAUGAUAAAACAUAUAAGAGAAAAACUGAUAAUUGGACCUGUCAAUUCAUAAAAUAUUUACAACAAUAAAAUACCGUUUCCACUGGACUGUCCAAUCUAUACAUGAUCUAUCAAGAUUACAAAAAGAAAAGACAAAAGACUUAGGAUUGGUCCGACCUCCUCUAGACUCUGAGUAGACGAUGUAGAAAGAAGGAUAAACUAGAAGAUGAGGACUGCUGAGCAGAUCACCAAAAAGGAACUGAAAUAGUAAAAGAAAUAUAAGGGUGAGUACAAACUACUCAGUGAGCGGAUAAAUAAAUAACACAGGGGAAAAGAUAAGUGUAGGUACUUCAUAGUACCUAAUAUGUAGCUAAAAUAAAUCAGCUGAAUAAAUACAAUUUAAUUCCAUCAAUAUAAGAUAAACUGUGAAAAAUAGAAUCCGCAUACACUCAUAAUAUGUUCCCUGCAGAUAAUGCUGGCAUCUCAGGUAUAAUAAAAUAAUAACAGCCUGAGAGCAGUACUGGCAUCUUAGGCUCUAUAAUGACAAAUUUGGCCCAAGAGCAAAUAAAAUACUGGUCAUACACAUGUGCAGAGCUACCCCCAAAGGGUGACCACCUGACAUACGCCCCAAAGGCUAUCUGUAUAUCAAGCGCUGUCCCAAAGACAGUAUAAUUAUAUAUAUCAUGUUGAAAAUAAAUCACCCGUCAUCAAGGUGUUAUCUGUUUGGUGCAUAUACAGAGUGUAAUCGGCUAUUUAUUCAGCUGUGCUUCGUAUUCAAGAUAUAUAAAUUAUCAUUAUCCUUUCCCAAUGUAAAUAAACAACAUAACAUAUUCACAUAUAAAUAUAUUUUAAAAAAAAUAUCAAUGUUAGAUAUUUAUCCACUCACCAGAAUACUUGGGACAAA